AUUGAACGCUGGCGGCACGCUUAACACAUGCAAGUCGAGCGGGGUGAUGGUGCUUGCACUAUCACUUAGCGGCGGACGGGUGAGUAAUGCUUAGGAAUCUGCCUAUUAGUGGGGGACAACGUCUCGAAAGGGAUGCUAAUACCGCAUACGUCCUACGGGAGAAAGCAGGGGAUCACUUGUGACCUUGCGCUAAUAGAUGAGCCUAAGUCGGAUUAGCUAGUUGGUGGGGUAAAGGCCUACCAAGGCGACGAUCUGUAGCGGGUCUGAGAGGAUGAUCCGCCACACUGGGCCUGAGACACGGCCCAGACGCCUACGGGAGGCAGCAGUGGGGAAUAUUGGACAAUGGGGGGAACCCUGAUCCAGCCAUGCCGCGUGUGUGAAGAAGGCCUUAUGGUUGUAAAGCACUUUAAGCGAGGAGGAGGCUCUUUUGGUUAAUACCCAAGAUGAGUGGACGUUACUCGCAGAAUAAGCACCGGCUAACUCUGUGCCAGCCGCCGCCGUAA
rnacentral:rRNA from 1 species